GUUGGGGGUAUAAAAGAAAAAAGAAAAGAACUCUUCGUAUGACUCAACCAUGGUGUCUAUGAUCCCCGGCCAACCACCCCGAUUUCAUUCAACAAACCCACAAGCCUUUCCUGCUACUACCACGGCUACAUCGGUUGCGAGCCUUGCUCCCCAAAACCACCAUUCAUGGCCGACGGCGGCGGCGGCAGCGGUAGAGGUAGAGGCAGGGGCAGAGGCAGAGGUGUAGGUGGAGGCAGAAGCAGCGGCGGAGGCAGCGGCAGUGUCAGUGUUAGUGGCAGGGGCAGGGGCAGGGGCAGAGGCAGGCCGAGAAAGAUUAGCAUCGCUCCCGCUUGCGCUACCGACGACGCCAACUCCGAAGACCACGAAUCGACGCCUUCCCGUCACCCCGAGCACCACCGCCAGAAUGAGCUCACCCAACUCAUCUCGCUCCUCUCCUCCGCCGCCUCCGCCGCACAUUCCUUCCUCUCCCACCACGAUCUCAACCUCCUCCCGUCUCAAGUUCUAGCCUUAGAGUCCCACCUCUCUUCUACCGCUCGUGCUCUAUCAACCCUUCUCUCUCUCCUCCACCACCCCCCCAAACUCAUCGCUCCCCCACUCCCUUCGCCCCCCUCCUCCUGGUUCCAACGCUUCCUCUCCGCCGCCUCCGCCGACUACGACCGCCGAUGGCUCGAUGCCUUUCGAAUGUCCAAGCAGUCCUUCGUUCUCCUCCUCAGAAUUCUCACUCCCUCUUUGCAACACUCUCUGCCGUCUAUCCCUCCCAAUUGUGCUCUCGCGGCCGCCAUUUUCCGAUUAGCUCAUGCGGCGUCGUAUAAGUCGGUCGGUCGGCGGUUCGGGCUCGAUUCCGGUGGCGCUUGUCGCGCUUUUUUCGUUGUCUGUAAGGUGGUGAAUGAUAAAUUGGGGCAUAUGUUUGAGUUUCGGUCUGAUAUAGGGAGAAUCGUAGUGGGUUUUGGGUGGAUUUCGCUUCCGAAUUGCUGCGGGGUUUUGGGGCUUUGUCGCUUUCCGGUGGAAGGCGAAUUGUUGGGAAAAGAUGGGGGACUGAUGGUUCAAGCAUUGGUGGAUUCAGAAGGGAGGUUCUUGGAUGUUUCAGCGGGUUGGCCUAGUACAAUGAAACCGGAAGCAAUUUUGCGCCAGACGAAGCUGUUUUUGGGGGUUGAGGAAACAAGGGAUUUGUUGGAUGGCCCAUCCUUUGAGCUUAGUGAUGGGAGUUCGGUUUCUCAAUACAUACUGGGAGACUCUUGCUUUCCCCUCUUGCCAUGGCUUCUUACACCUUUUACAAGAUCUGGCGAGAGGGGAAGUUUAAGUUCUUCAGAACGAGCAUUCAAUUCUGUGCAUAGCCGCGGGAUGGGACUAGUUGCAACAGCCUUUGGCAGACUUCGUGCUCGAUGGCAGCUUCUAUCAAAGCGGUGGAAAGAAGAAUGUCUUGAUUUCUUCCCAUUUGUUAUUGUCACUGGUUGCCUGCUGCACAAUUUUCUGAUAAAGUGUAGCGAGCCGCUGCCAUAUGAAUUCUUAGGACAAUUGAAGGAACAAAAUCUUCCUGUAUUUGAAGGAGAGGUGAAUGAGAGUGGGAGAAGGAUCAGGGAUGCGCUUGCCUUGCACUUGAGCCGGGAAUUUGGUUGAUUUGGACUAUACUACGAACAACAUUUAACGUUUUUCAGAUUUGCUAUCAGGAAUAAAUGUAAACAUAUACUUGAUAGAUGGGUUACAUCACAUGAAGGAAUCUGAAGAGGCAAAAGUCAAAAGGAGAUCAACCAUUACUUGCAAAUCCUAUGUUUAGUUGAUGCAGCAGUGGUGAACAAUUUUGAGGGAUUGAUAAAAGGAGAUCAACCAUUAUUUGCAAAUCCCAUGUUUAGUUGAUGCAGCAGUGGUGAACAAUUUUGAGGGAUUGAUAAAAUCAUAAAAUUGAUAACUAAGAUAGUAAUGUUUAAUUGACAAAGUUCUGGUCCUCUUUGGAUAGGUUAAUUACCAAGAAGAAAUAAAUCUAUAUGGCACAAUUACUUGUAAAUUUCUUUAACCAGGCUCAAGCUAUCAAAUGACUGAAUUUUUGUCGACUAAUGUUCAAUCCAAAUUACAACAGUAGGUGAUUCAUUUCUCGUCCCAUAUCCAUUCCUAUUUCUUUCACUUUACAUGAAAUUUGAAAAUAGAAGUAAUAGUUUUUUAUUUUUUAUUUUUUAUUAUUUCAUUUAAUAUGUAAUAAGAAAUGAAUGGAUAUUCUCAUGAUCAAAUUUGAGAAUACUUAUUCUUUAUAUUUUCCUUGUUAUAAAUUCAAAAAGCAUUUCAUUUUG